rnacentral:rRNA from 1 species
CCGUCGCUCCUACCGAUUGAAUGGUCCGGUGAAGUUUUCGGAUCGCGGCGACGCCGGCGGUUCGCCGCCGGUGUUGUUGUGAGAAGUUCAUUAAACCUUAUCAUUUAGAGGAAGGAGAAGUCGUAACAAGGUUUCCGUAGGUGAACCUGCGGAAGGAUCAUUGAACACACGAUCUCUGAAAAACCCUGCGAAUCGUUUUGUACAAAGAGGGAUCGUGCCCGGAGGCACGAUCGUCGGUGCCCGAGUCGAGAUUCAUGUGCGUCAGCCUUGAUCGUCCCGUUUGGUGCGCGACGGGAUCGAGUGACUCGGAUGUCAUCGUCGGAUCGCCCCAGAUGCGUAUGAUUCCGGGUCUCUCCGGACUCGGAGUCGGGAAUGCGUCCCCUCCUCCAACGGACGGGGAGUCUCGCCGGGAUCCGCCUGCCGAGCGCAGGACGGGUUUUCGUCCGAUGGCUCCCUCUCCAUUGGUGCCCUUUUUUUUCUCAAGCAACCCGGUAUAACUUAAGAUUAUUUGACUCGUGGGAGUUGGGGAGUGCCGAGGUGUUCCCGAACUCUCACGAAAGGAAAAUUCAAACAAUGACUCUCAGCAACGGAUAUCUUGGCUCUUGCAACGAUGAAGAACGCAGCGAAAUGCGAUACCUAGUGUGAAUUGCAGAAUUCCGCGAAUCAUCGAGUUUUUGAACGCAAGUUGCGCCCGAGGCUCGUCUGAGGGCAUGCCUGCCUGAGCGUCCGCUCCGACCCACCCACGAUCCCUGUUCCUCUUCCAAAAGAGGAAGGCAGGGACAAGUGCGAGUGGAACUGGUCGUCCGGGAACUCUCUCGUCCUCGAGGGGGACGAGUUCGAGAUCAUCGGUCGGCUGAAAACGAGAGCCGUCCGUCAAAACGCACACUGGGACAACGGUGCGUCGCGAGAAGGUGCCGUCCGUCUCCGAUCGUUCUCGAUGGGAGACGGAUGUUUGUUUUAGAGCGACGUGCCUUCCCGGUGGGGUCGAGAUUUGGCGGUUCGGCGAGAGAUUGAAUGAACAUGGGGAGCGGGGAAGACUUUGAACGCUUCCCCCGCGGAACUCUCUCGAAAGAGAUGGGGACGCGCGGGGGGUGUCCAGUCCGAACGCAACGUUGCUCGGACCUCAGAUCAGGCAAGACCACCCGCUGAGUUUAAGCAUAUCACUAAGCGGAGGAAAAGAAACUAACAAGGAUUUCCUUAGUAACGGCGAGCGAACCGGAAGUAGCCCA